GGAUAAUCUCUGUAAGGACAUUUUUCUUCGUGGCAAGAUGGAUGAUCAAGGUUGGGUUCCUGUCUCAUUGAUUGCUACCUUUAACAUGGUCAAAAGGGUGACCACGAGCAUAGCGAUGAUAUUGAAUGCUCUAAGAGAUUCGACAGAACUUGAAAUACAGAGAAAAUUAGAAGACGAGAGGAUUGGAUGAGAUGGUUACUGCCCUCGAUGGAAAAUCCAAAUGGUCAUGGUUCCACACCUCACUUGACAUUGAACCAUGAUGAUUCAGUCAUCCACCCCAUGCAGACUCUCGGAUUAGAGGAAUAUUCUAGCCAGGCCACCAUGAGUUGUACUCAAACUGAGGUAGCACUUGAU